CCUACGGGAGGCAGCAGUGAGGAAUAUUGGUCAAUGGCCGAGAGGCUGACCCCUCCCCUUCUCUUUCUUGACGCAUGUCCUCUGGCUUGUAAACCUCUUUUGUCAGGGAGCAAAGUCACCCACGUGUGGGUGUUGGAGAGUACCUGAAGAAAAAGCAUCGGCUAACUCCGUGCCAGCAGCCGCGGUAAUACGGAGGAUGCGAGCGUUAUCCGGAUUUAUUGGGUUUAAAGGGUGCGUAGGCGGGUUAUCAAGUCAGCGGUAAAAUCGUGGAGCUCAACUCCAUCCAGCCGUUGAAACUGAUGAUCUUGAGUGGGCGAGAAGUAUGCGGAAUGCGUGGUGUAGCGGUGAAAUGCAUAGAUAUCACGCAGAACUCCGAUUGCGAAGGCAGCAUACCGGCGCCCGACUGACGCUGAGGCACGAAAGCGUGGGUAUCGAACAGGAUUAGAUACCCCAGUAGUC
rnacentral:rRNA from 1 species